UAAAAAUAACAGUUAAAGUAAGGGCAUGUUUGAGCCGCCUAGAGUUUCUGCACAAGUGCAAGCAAAAUUGGUCAAAAAAGCACUAAUAAUUUUUCUGCUAGAAAUGUUCCGAAAAAUUCACUCUAAAGUUAGAAAAACGAAGUUGCGAAUUAAAGUUUUUUUCAUUUGAAAUUAAUGUGAUCAUUUCAGUGUCCUAUCGCAGUCAAAAGUUAGACAUUUCGUUUAAUAAAUAGUUCAAAUCACUUCUCGUAUUUUUAUUAUUAUUAUACAGUCGAGUACUGUGGCGACAGAUAGUGGGAUGCUGUAGUUUAUACACCUAAUAAAUUUAUUUUGCAGAAAAAUAUUAAAACAUAAUCAUAACUUUUUUUAUUUUAUCUGGUAACACAUCCAAUCACAAAUAUAUAUAUAUAUAUAUAUAUAUAUAUAUAUAUAGAAAUAUAAA
rnacentral:lncRNA from 1 species